CCUACGGGAGGCAGCAGUCGAGAAUCAUUCACAAUGGGGGAAACCCUGAUGGUGCGACCCCGCGUGGGGGAAUGAAGGUCUUCGGAUUGUAAACCCCUGUCAUGUGGGAGCAAAUUAAAAAGAUAGUACCACAAGAGGAAGAGACGGCUAACUCUGUGCCAGCAGCCGCGGUAAUACAGAGGUCUCAAGCGUUGUUCGGAAUCACUGGGCGUAACGCGUGCGUAGGCUGUUUCGUAAGUCGUGUGUGAAAGGCGCGGGCUCAACCCGCGGACGGCACAUGAUACUGCGAGACUAGAGUAAUGGAGGGGGAACCGGAAUUCUCGGUGUAGCAGUGAAAUGCGUAGAUAUCGAGAGGAACACUCGUGGCGAAGGCGGGUUCCUGGACAUUAACUGACGCUGAGGCACGAAGGCCAGGGGAGCGAAAGGGAUUAGAUACCCCUGUAGUC
rnacentral:rRNA from 1 species